CAAAGUAUAGCUUAACAAAAGCUCUUCGCUUACACCGAAACUAUGUUUGUGCAAAUCAAACUUCUUUGA
rnacentral:tRNA from 1 species